rnacentral:rRNA from 1 species
CAGUCGCCGCGGUAAUACGGAGGGUGCAAGCGUUAAUCGGAAUUACUGGGCGUAAAGCGCACGCAGGCGGUCUGUUAAGUCAGAUGUGAAAUCCCCGGGCUUAACCUGGGAACUGCAUUUGAAACUGGCAGGCUUGAGUCUUGUAGAGGGGGGUAGAAUUCCAGGUGUAGCGGUGAAAUGCGUAGAGAUCUGGAGGAAUACCGGUGGCGAAGGCGGCCCCCUGGACAAAGACUGACGCUCAGGUGCGAAAGCGUGGGGAGCAAACAGGAUUAGAUACCCCGGUAGUCCCUGUCUCUUAUAC